UUGCUUCUUAUCAAUUCGAGUGGCAAACGGGUGAGUAACGCGUAAGCAACCUGCCCUUUAGAUGGGGACAACAGCUGGAAACGGCUGCUAAUACCGAAUACGUUCUUUUUGUCGCAUGGCAGAGAGAAGAAAGGGAGGCUCUUCGGAGCUUUCGCUGAAGGAGGGGCUUGCGUCUGAUUAGCUAGUUGGAGGGGUAACGGCCCACCAAGCCAACGAUGGGUAGCCGAGCUGAGAGGCUGAUCGGCCACAUUGGAACUGAGACACGGUCCAAACUCC
rnacentral:rRNA from 1 species